ACAUUAACAGUCCCUUUUAUACAUGUGUACCAAUUCAAACUCAUAGAAUCUAAAUGGCUAAACCAUAAUAUUUCCAUAUUUCAUGCCGAGGACAGUUUAAAAGAAAAUAAAGAGCACAAAAGACAUUCCCCACCUGAAAUAACUAAAUAUAAAUAUAAUUAUGGAAAUAACGCUUAACAUAUAGAAGUAUAGGGCCAAAGAAUAUCAUCAACUUAGAACUGAUCCUAAAGCUUAAACAUGAACAUCAAUCAAGAAUUCGACUUCAUUACACACCAAUCCAGAAAUUAAUGUAUAAUUAAAAAACAAUUCAGACAACAACAUGUUUAAACACAUUUUUUCUCAAAUCUACACUUUGAAGUCCAUUCAAUUAAUCUCCAUAGUCCUAGAGAAAUACCUGGAAUGAAUAGAACCAAAAGGUAAGAGGCCAGCAAUAGCAGUAGAGCCCAACAAUUGGAAAAUGAACCAGCACACUAGUUAUAAACCCAGCAGAUAAGCCACAGAGAUCCAAACACUUAUUUUAGUUACUCAAUGGACCAGCAGACCUCAAACUAUACUCAACCUUAACCCAUUUUAGUACCAGCUAACUAGAACGCUUUAGCAAUAGAAAAACUUCAGAAAUCACCAAAAGGAAUUAAAUGAAACAAUGUUUUCAAAAAAUUUCCUCAGUCGUUUGAUUUCCUGAUUUUUUUUAUCGCUUGAGCUCUCUAUUUUCAAUGGAACCAUAGAAAUUUUUUUUUUAUAUAUAUUUUUAUAUUUGUUCAGUGAAGUCCUCCAAUGAGCUCUCCCUUAGCAGUUCCUUUAUAGGAAAGCUCCUAGGGAAGCUAAAAAUAUUUUUUUGCCUUUUAGACCUUUUUUAAUUUUUCUUUUGCAGCUUAGUUCCUAAAUUACUGACUUGCUUGACUAGCAAGUUUGUUUUUUCAGCUUUUAAGAAGCUUCUUUAGAUGGUUACUAAGAGAUUUCCUAGCUUAGCUACCCUAAUUACAUAUUAAUUACCUUGUUUUUACACUUAUGGACAAUCCACUAGGCCAAAACAAAUCAGGCUUUAUUUUAAUCAGGCCAUAAAUGACUCAAUAGGCCCAGAGCUAAUUUUGGACCAGAACAACAGGUAUUCAAAGCUCAAUUUCUGGCCCAAACCUUACCAAGGCUAAUUGACAAUAUAAGAAGCAACCAAUUGAUCAAUUUGACUAUUAAAUCACCACUUAUGAAAAACAAAAGAUCAAAAAUAACAAAAUUAACAUAACCGAAUUGACCCUAAGUUCAUUUAACAUAAUUGAACAAAAUUACCAAUAAUUUCAUGCCAUCUAAUUCCACUAAAUGGUUAGAUGAAACAAAACGAGCACAAUGAGAAAGAGAAAAAGGAGACAAGGAAAAGAGAAAAAAAAUAAAGAACUAGAAGAAAAGAACAGAAAUACCCAAAGCAGAUAGGUGGAUGGUUGAUUUGAGACGACCUCCAGUACCUUCCGAUUUUGAUUAGAACUGGUUUUAAUCACGUGUUCACAAAUGAAAACACAUGCAUAAAAUCCCUUCUGCUUCAAAUCUUCAACUCGACCACUGAUUUACGUUUUGGAAACUUAGGGCUCGGACCUUUGACUUAAAAUUCAGAAGGUUUGAAGUGUUUUGGAGAAGGCGGAGUGGGUAUUUGGAAUAUGCGUGCCUUGGGGGUUAUUUGGAGUUAGUUUUGGGUUGUUUGGAGAUGGAACUAGGGUGUUAGUUUCACGAUGAUUGGACGUUCGCUGCCGGCGUGAGGCGAUUUCCGGCAGCGAUUGGUGGUGGUGUUAUAUGAGACUGAAGGGGUGAGGGAUACAAGUGAAUGGGGGGGGGUAGGUGGGUACAUUUUGAUACAUUUAUAUUUAAUGGACCUAGCUUCUCAGCUGUUAGAUCUCCAAACCUCGACAACUAAGACUAAUUGUUGAUUAAAUGGGUCAUUUGGGCUGGGGGGAAGGCGGACCAGGUAACAGAAAAAAUUGGUCAGUUUUUUGUGCUAUUUGGAUAGGUGUUAGGUGG
rnacentral:lncRNA from 1 species